rnacentral:lncRNA from 1 species
GGAACUAAAAAUGCAAAUUUCCCAAGUCCCAAAAUGCUGCACCUAAACGCGGACUAAACUGAAAUGACACGCAAAUUUUAGGGAUAAAUUUAAAGAAUCUAAGAAAGCAUAAGCAAGGCCCAAUUAAUCACUAUCGCAAAAGGGGGGACUUAACACAUAAAUUACCCAUUUUGGGUCAAAUGUGUGGGCCCAGCACCAAAUGGUGCUGUUUUAAACGUAUUGUAAAAGCUAAAAAGAAAGAAACCCCCCUCCCAAACAGCAGCCUUGCAGAUUAUCUUCAAGAAAAUUCAAAACCCCCUUUCACCCUCUGUUAGGGAUUCGCCUCUGCUUUGAGAUGCCGCGCACGAGGGUCAUCGGGGCUUCUGCGCCUCCACCUCUGACGACGAACCACGGGGUAAGGCCAGGUAAGCCUCUUCUUCCCCGAUUUUGAUGCAAAAGCAGUUUGCAAGGAAAAGAAAGCAAGAAAAACAAAAAGAAAAAGAAAUACAAAAUGGAAAAGAAUAAAGAACAACCUUCUAGGCAUUCAAUCUGAUUUUUUAUUGAUAUCAAUUACUCUUGCACGUUCUGCUAUUGUGUAUAUCCAAAAAUCGGGAGCAAAAAAAAAAAUCCCUUUACACUUGAUUCAAUUUGGCUUUUAUAGCCAAUUUUUCAACUUCUUUUGCUUGUUUGCAGGUACGUGCUAGGUGUGGACUCUGACGUGGAGGUAGAGUGGUGCACGAUGCGGAGAGUUGCGUGACAUGCGGUGCCUGGGGACUGCCUCGGUUGCAAAUGAUGGCUCCUAGAUUUUUUGUAAUCUGUUUGUGUUUUUGGGCUGUUUGGGCCAUGUUUGUAAAUGGGUACUUAGGUUUGGGCCUACUUAGCUUCUAGUGGUUUGGGCCGGGUAAAUUUUGGGCCCUACACCCAUCAUUCUUGUAACACUCCUUACCUAUAUCCGUUGUUGGAAAGGGUUUCAGAGCAUUAUCGAUGUUCACCGAUCAAACAGACAUAAAUUUCAAACUGUAACACCCCAAACCCGGCUUGGACAGUAUGGUUGAAUCUGGCGAUGUCACACGAGAGUGUUUUUGAAAACACAUUGACCUUAAAAUCGUUCCAAUUACUAACUUUACUUAGUUCUAGAAAACAUAUUUUAAUUGAUUUGAUUUAAAAAAUUUCUUUUGCGUGGAAGCUUUUGAAAACCCUAUAAAAUUUUUGGAAGCCGUCUCGUGUACGAAAACAUUAGCUUUUAGGAAAAGCGAGUUUAGUAUAAAAACCCAAAAACCGUUCAAAAAUCAAAAUAAAGUCCAUAAAGGUCCAAAUUACAUCAACCAACUCGAAACAUAAUUAAAAAGAAAUAAUUACCGGAACUGAAUUUAAAACAGUCUAAAUAUGUGUGGCCACCGUCGAGUCCUCCGUUGUACCGAA